CAAUAGCGUAUAUUUAAGUUGUUGCAGUUAAAAAGCUCGUAGUCGGAUUUUGGCUGAGAACGAUCGGUCCGCCGUUAGGUGUGCACUGAUUGGUCUCAGCUUCCUGGUGAGGAGGUGUGCUUCACGGCCACUUAGUCACCGUGGUUACUUUGAAAAAAUUAGAGUGUUCAAAGCGGGCUUACGCUUGAAUAUAUUAGCAUGGAAUAACACCAUAGGACUCCUGUCCUAUUUCGUUGGUCACGGGACGGGAGUAAUGAUUAAGAGGAACAGCUGGGGGCAUUCGUAUUUCAUUGUCAGAGGUGAAAUUCUUGGAUUUAUGAAAGACGAACUUCUGCGAAAGCAUUUGCCAAGGAUGUUUUCAUUGA
rnacentral:rRNA from 1 species